CUGGAUUCAGCUCACCACCAGCAUUAAUAACUCCGGGAGGAAAACAGAGAACUCAUUUUCCAAUGCUCUGAAAGGGGAUCCAGCCCCUUGCUCAUGAAAAACUUCUUGGAAAUGGCUUCUUAGGUUUUGUUCAGUCUCAUUUAUUCACAGUGAGGAGAAACAAACUCAGGAAAUAAAGCAUCUUCAGGGAUCUCUUGCAAAGCUUUGCAAUGAGAAGACAGGCAGUGAGCCCUUGGUGAGGACAGGAGGUUAUGUCUGACCAACAUGAGCACCAAAAAUCAUCCAAACCAGAACAGCUAUUUCACUGGAAUGAAAGGCUGUGAAAAACAGUUGACUACCACCACACACAUAGAAAAGGGGCAGAACCAUGCAGGCUUCUUCCACAGUAUCUCUGCAUCAAACAAGGAUUUAAUUGGAGCAGUUUAGGGUUUCAUCCAUAGGCAGAGGUGUGGUGCACCAGCACAUUCCUGGGUGCAAUUCCAAUCUUCUUACAGUGUAUAUCCCCAAUAGCUAUGCCAAAGCCACCAGGACUGCUUUGGCUGCAACCCAUGCAGGAGCAUGCUGAGGAGCUGUGGCUGCCCAGCUGUGCCAGGAAAGAGGUUCUGCCCCAGUAUUUGGUCACUCUGCUUGAAAUCAGACCCAGAAAGGCAGUGAGAAGGCAGCAGAUCCCAAGUGCUGCUCAGCCAGUCUGGCCAAGUCAGGGUUUUCCCAUAUAUCUGCUCCCCUUGCUCCAAGCCUGCAUCCCAGCAGCAGCCUGGGAGGGAUGAGCAAUCCAAUCUCACCCCAUCAGCGAGGGUGGGGAAAAGCUGGGGAAGCAAAGCUGGGAGCCCAAGCUCAUUUACAGAAGUGCUUGAUGAGUGAUGAAGUCACUUUCACAAUUGCUUCCAGUGAAAAACCUGCACCAGGAAGCUUGCCACUUAGCCUCCUUGAAAAUAAAUAUUUCUCUGCAGGAAAUUGCUUCUUGAAAACAGCCCGGAUGCCUGGGAGAAACUGCCAAGGAACUGACGUAUGUAAAGGGCAGAAGCAAACCCUUUUAUGCAAAAAUGUGGACAUUUCCUCAAACCAAACUCUUCUUGGGCGCCCAGCGAAAGGACAAGAAGCAAUGAGAAAAAAUUGAAGCUUGAAACAUGACAAUUAAGCAUAAGAAAACACUUUUUCUCUUUUAAGGUAGUCCAACAUCAUCAGGUUGCCCAGAGAGGGUGUGGAGUCUCCAUGCUCAGAGAUAUUGCUAUACUCAAUUGGGAUGAGGUCCUGCUGUAGAACACCUCACUGUGAUGCUCUCCAGAGGGAUCUCCAGCCUCAGUCUGUAACCACUAAGAGUUGCUUAUAGAAAACAGAAAGACCGAGUUCAUGGAGCCUUGUUUUUUGCUGUGAAAGCAUUUAAAGGGAAGAUAACAUCCACUUCUCCCAUAGGCUGCAGCACUCUGUACAACUUUGCUUUGCCAUGGCAGUCGCCAACUUGUAGCUGGGGGGACAUGCAUGGUGGGCAAGGCAAGAACCAGCUCAAGGGGAAGGCUCCUACUCUCAGCCUCCUUUGGAAGGCCGAAAUCUGGGCACAGAUUUUCAUUGGAGCUCUUGAGGGGUUUUCUUAACCUUGGAGAUGCUUUCCAGGUCUGAUGAGGGGCAAAGACGAUGACAGAAAAAGAAUCAGUUGGAUGACAGGGAUGGAAAUCCACAGGGAUCAAAUGUAAUGUGCAAGAAGGAGGAACACCAGUAGAGACUGCACAGUGUGAAGACACUGGGAGGCUGCACGUGCUUUGCCUGCACCCCCUUUUAAACAGGAGGGGUUGGGUGCCUUCUUUCUGCAGACUUUGCAGCGGGGCUGUGUGAGGAACAGGGAAAUCUCUUCCUACUUCCAAGAAAGAUGCCUUCAAAUACACAGGUGCUGCUACACAGGGAUGGCUUUGCUGCAGAAAGCAGAGCACAGCAUGUCCUCCCGCUCAGUGCUUGUGGGUGAGGUGCUUUACCAGGCCAAAGUCAUUUGACAUUGCUCUAGUGGGUGUCUGAAGCUAAUGAAUCCAGAUUAAGCAGUGCGGAGGCUGGGGAGCUAGAUUUCUGCUGAAUAUGCAUAAAGACAAAUAUGAAUUCUAAAAUUUUUAGGAAGUAUUUCUACCCUGGCUCAGCGCUAAUGUUGAUAAAAAGAGUCACAAAUUAGUACAGGAAUAGGAAGGAAAAUUGGGCUUUGUCUUUUUUUUUUUUUUUUUAACUGCUAAAACCGGGCAUCUGUUUUUGUACCAGGAGUUAAUUUCUUACAUGCAAUAAUGAAGCACGGAGUAAACUGUCAACAUGUGCCCUUCCCUGGCAGAAUAACUCCCACCUCAAUUAAGUAAAUAGGAAGAGGAACUGAAGUUAAAUUAAAAAUAAAUAAAUAAAAAUCCUCUGUAUUGAAAAAAAA
ensembl:lncRNA